CAAAGGGUCUCUGGUUGGAGAUUCCUCCCUUGUGAGGUUUCCCUUGCAAGCCUAGAGCUUCAGAGAUGGGUGGAACAACAUCUGCAAUAGCAAUCUCUAUCCUGAAGUGCAGAGCUUUUAAUAGGAAUUUCAGAUUGAUCUCUAGAGGUUUUGAAAUGGAGGAAACGAAAGUGAGGAAGUGAAGAAAGCUUUGGAUUUGAAUCCUUUUCCAUCUGUCUUUGACACCAUAAUAUUUUUUGAGCAAAAUAACUUUUUCAACUCUUCUAUAAUGUCUCCUAAACAUAGACUUCUUCCAAAAUUCAAUGGUGGUUACUUCCAAAGUGACAAGAAAAUGUCUUUGGACAUAUAUUUAAAAGUAGCAGUUAAAAGUAAUGGAAAUAGUACAACAAUGCCUUAUGUUUGCUAUUGUCAACAUCAGUCACAGAGGAAAAAACAGUCGUCCAAGAGAGCGGUACCCAACACAUAGGUUUCAUGAUUGCUUUUGAAAUUAUGUCCAAGAUAACUUUUUUUUUCACUCUCUCAGGAAACUUACUCUCUCCCAGGUACCCUCAAAAAUAUCUGACUACAAGUGAAAAGAACCAAACAUCCACAUGAGAACUGUAAAGUAAGGAGUUAAAGAUACUUAUCUGUGGCCAGUUGGAGACCAUCCCGUAUUUUUUUAUGCCCAGACUCUGGGAUGGCUGCACAUAAGCCAGCUGGAUGUGGAAAAGUUGUAGUCCCAUUAUUAGUUCCUACUAGUACAGCCAAGCUACCGUACCUCCCUGCUAAACAAUUAGGGCUAGUAUAGUGACACACAUUGCUUGGCUGUACACUUCCAGACCAAAGCUGCUUUGCAUCCAGUUCUUAGCAGCAGAGUUUCAUUUUUUAAAAAAAUCAUCCUUAGUAUGCUACAUAUAUAUUGUUUGGAGAAGAAUUAUGGUGCAAUAUAGCUUCAAUGACUGAACCAAGUCAAGAAAUGUGUUAACACUACAUCUACUGCUUUUUAUUCAUGGUAUUCAAGUCCAUUCAACCUAUGAAUGACAAAAUCAAAAUAAAAUAAGAACAAAAUGGUAUCACCAUUUCGAAUUGCCACCAAAUUCCCUUGCGAAUUCUGAAUGCUUUAGUAAAGGAAACUGUCAAAAAGGAAAUAGGUCAGCCAUUCUGGAACUGUUUUGAAGGGAAAAGGUAUAAUACUGGGAUAAUAAGAGUUUUGUAAAGGCUAUGCCAGAUGCCUAAACUUCAGAACAGCAACAAUAUUCUUGGUGUUUUUUGGCUCACAGUUGGCACUUAUACUGUGUCAACUGACACUAACAGUUGAAAAGCAGUCAGAAAACACUUUUUCAUUUAAAAGAGGACUGAAAGUGAACAAAGGUUAAUUAGUUUUGUCAUGGUCUAAUGAAGUGGGCUGAGUUUUCUUAGCUGUAACUGAGUAAAUUAAAGCAGAAUCCAAAAUAAAGCUUCUGUGAGAGGUAAAUCAGCAAAAAGCAGUAAAUGCAAGUGUAAACAAAUUAAAAGUUGGAAUUUGUGAAUGCUGUUCA